CCUACGGGGGGCAGCAGUGGGGAAUAUUGGACAAUGGGCGAAAGCCUGAUCCAGCAAUGCCGCGUGAGUGAUGAAGGCCUUAGGGUUGUAAAGCUCUUUUACCAGGGAUGAUAAUGACAGUACCUGGAGAAUAAGCUCCGGCUAACUCCGUGCCAGCAGCCGCGGUAAUACGGAGGGAGCUAGCGUUGUUCGGAAUUACUGGGCGUAAAGCGCGCGUAGGCGGCUAUUCAAGUCAGAGGUGAAAGCCUGGAGCUCAACUCCAGAACUGCCUUUGAAACUAGAUAGCUAGAAUCUUGGAGAGGCGAGUGGAAUUCCGAGUGUAGAGGUGAAAUUCGUAGAUAUUCGGAAGAACACCAGUGGCGAAGGCGACUCGCUGGACAAGUAUUGACGCUGAGGUGCGAAAGCGUGGGGAGCAAACAGGCUUAGAUACCCGAGUAGUC
rnacentral:rRNA from 1 species